GCCAGCAUGGUGUAGUGGUUUGAGCACUGGACUAUGAUUCUGAAGACCUGGGUUCAAUUUCUGGUUCGGCCA